rnacentral:snoRNA from 1 species
ACUGCACACUGUUAAAACUUGGUGCUGAGGUCAGUCUCUGGCCGAUGAGCUCUCAAGUGUCGGAGGUGUGCUACAGCAAAGCAGACGGCAGGGUUUUCGCUGACACUCCAGGAGAGGAGCUCCCUCCAGGACUGGAGUUUGAUAGUAGGCCCUGCCACAUAC